rnacentral:rRNA from 1 species
UACAGAGACUGCAAGCGUUAUUCGGAUUCACUGGGCGUAAAGGGUGCGCAGGCGGUCGGGUGUGUCAGAUGUGAAAUCCCGAGGCUCAACCUCGGAACUGCGUCUGAAACUACUCGACUAGAGUACUGGAGAGGGUAACGGAAUUCACGGUGUAGCAGUGAAAUGCGUAGAUAUCGUGAGGAACACCAGAGGCGAAGGCGGUUACCUGGACAGUUACUGACGCUCAGGCACGAAAGCGUGGGUAGCGAACAGG